rnacentral:rRNA from 1 species
AUUGAACGCUGGCGGCAGGCCUAACACAUGCAAGUCGAACGGUAACAGGAAGAAGCUUGCUUCUUUGCUGACGAGUGGCGGACGGGUGAGUAAUGUCUGGGAAACUGCCUGAUGGAGGGGGAUAACUACUGGAAACGGUAGCUAAUACCGCAUAACGUCGCAAGACCAAAAAGGGGGACCUUCGGGCCUCUUGCCAUCGGAUGUGCCCAGAUGGGAUUAGCUAGUAGGUGGGAUAACGGCUCACCUAGGCGACGAUCCCUAGCUGGUCUGAGAGGAUGACCAGCCACACUGGAACUGAGACACGGUCCAGACUCCUACGGGAGGCAGCAGUGGGGAAUAUUGCACAAUGGGCGCAAGCCUGAUGCAGCCAUGCCGCGUGUAUGAAGAAGGCCUUCGGGUUGUAAAGUACUUUCAGCGGGGAGGAAGGGAGUAAAGUUAAUACCUUUGCUCAUUGACGUUACCCGCAGAAGAAGCACCGGCUAACUCCGUG